CUUGGUGCUGUGCUCACAUGUGAACCAGGGUGUAACACUCCAUGGCAGUGCCCUGAUUAACAUGUCAGUACACACUGAG
rnacentral:pre_miRNA from 1 species